rnacentral:rRNA from 1 species
ACGCUGGUGGCGUGCUUAACACAUGCAAGUCGAACGAGAAAUGAUAUUACGAUCUCUUCGGAGUGACGGUUUUAUUUCGAGUGGCGGACGGGUGAGUAACGCGUGAGCAACCUGCCCUAUACCGGGGGAUACCAGUUGGAAACGACUGUUAAUACCGCAUAAGCGCACGAUAAGACAUCUUGUUGUGUGAAAAACUCCGGUGGUAUAGGAUGGGCUCGCGUAUGAUUAGCCAGUUGGCGGGGUAAAGGCCCACCAAAGCGACGAUCAUUAGCCGACCUGAGAGGGCGACCGGCCACAUUGGGACUGAGACACGGCCCAAACUCCUACGGGAGGCAGCAGUGGGGAAUAUUGCACAAUGGGCGAAAGCCUGAUGCAGCGACGCCGCGUGAGUGAGGAAGUAUUUCGGUAUGUAAAGCUCUAUCAGCAGGGAAGAAAGAAAUGACGGUACCUGAGUAAGAAGCUCCGGCUAAAUACGUGCCAGCAGCCGCGGUAAUACGUAUGGAGCAAGCGUUAUCCGGAUUUACUGGGUGUAAAGGGAGCGUAGGCGGCAGAGCAAGUCUGAUGUGAAAGCCCGGGGCUCAACCCCGGUAGUGCAUUGGAAACUGUUCGGCUCGAGUGUCGGAGGGGUAAGCGGAAUUCCUGGUGUAGCGGUGAAAUGCGUAGAUAUCAGGAAGAACACCGGAGGCGAAGGCGGCUUACUGGACGAUUACUGACGCUGAGGCUCGAAAGCGUGGGGAGCGAACAGGAUUAGAUACCCUGGUAGUCCACGCUGUAAACGAUGAAUACUAGGUGUCGGUACCCGAAGGGUAUCGGUGCCGUCGCAAACGCAUUAAGUAUUCCACCUGGGGAGUACGUUCGCAAGAAUGAAACUCAAAGGAAUUGACGGGGACCCGCACAAGCGGUGGAGCAU